rnacentral:rRNA from 1 species
UACGGGGGGGGGCAAGCGUUGUUCGGAAUUACUGGCGUAAAGGGCUCGUAGGUGGCCAACUAAGUCAGACGUGAAAUCCCUCGGCUUAACCGGGGAACUGCGUCUGAUACUGGAUGGCUUGAGUUCGGGAGAGGGAGUGCGGAAUUCCAGGUGUAGCGGUGAAAUGCGUAGAUAUCGAGAGGAACACCUGCGGCGAAGGCGGGUUGCUGGGCUGACACUGACGCUGAUGUGCGAAAGCUAGGGGAGCGAACGGG